GGCAGCUUGGCCGAGUGGUCUAAGGCGCUGGAAUUAGGAUUUUAUCCAUCCAGUCCGAAAGGGCGUGGGUUCGAACCCCACAGCUGUCA